AAGGUGACACUUACUUGAAUCAAUGUCUUCUCGAGGCUUUUGAAAGGUGCAGCAGGCAUAAAAUUUAAUAUUGAUUGUUGGGGCACAUUGCCUUCCCCCUUCCACAGUCAUUUCAGAAUGACAAAUAAUUUGUUUUGAUCCGCGCGGGGCACGGCUGGCGGACACACAGGAGUCCCCGGCCCUCUUCGCGGAAGCGCGGCUGGCUUUUUUUCUGGCCACUUCUCUCUCAGUUGCCUCUCCCCUCCUUAAAUUUCUUGGUUCCUGCCGUCCCCUUCUGCUUGCUCCUCUUAGCUCCUGUUCUAAUUUCAACUGUCAUUUCCCCCGCUCUCCCGAGUGCUCUGAGCUCCUGUUCUAAUUUUUCAUGUCUUCUCCCAGUGCUGCCCUCCUUUCUGUGUCUCUGACCCUCUCCUUCUCGCCUUCUCUUUUUCUCUGACUCUUAUUCCUCAAUGUCCCUUCGGAGGCCCUGCCUCAGGUUUCUGCUUCUGUCUUCUGCAGACUGUGUAACACAGCCAAUAAUAGGAUGUCCGAUCUGCUCUGCCUAAGUCCCAGAGUCACAAAAAUAAAAGCAGAUAUUGUUUUUCCCACGUUCUCCUAAACCCACCUUUGAAUCUCAUCUCCCCUCGAUAUUUCCUCCCGCACCCUUGCCUUCCAGCUUCUCCUUGCUGUUGGAAUCCUCUAAGAAAAUCUCUUUUUAUAUUCCUUGGUUGACAGGAGCAAAAUGCAGGGAAUUGAUGUGAGAACUGUCAUCGCAAUGUAAUUCUGGUCCAAUUUCACUUUCUAAAGAAGUUUCGAUGGAUUUGCAGUGAGUAUCCAGCUGACUGUAUAUUGGAUGAGGAAGGAAUCAUGUGCCUUUAUCACUGUGAUCUCAGUGCCUAGAAGGGUUGCGGACAAGGUCUCUCCAUAUCUGCUGCUGAGAAAUGAUUUUGUUGACUCGUGGCCAUAACCACGUUUCUCUCUCCCUGGGAAAGCUUAAAACCGAAUUCAAGGAACGCAAAGCUGGAAAAAGACGUAAUGCAUCACAAUCCAGAUGAAAAACUAAUAACCCGUGAAUAGCGUGACGAUGACAUCUCCCAAUUUGCAUGGGGCAAGCAUUGUUUUUGCCAUUUGUUUUAUUUAUUUAUUUUUUUCCACGGAGUCAUUAUUAGUAGCGUCUCUUUUUCUUCUCAGAAGGGCUGAUUUGGACAAUGAAUUAUCUUGUCACUGGAAACGUAAGGAAAAAUGUUACCUUUCUUUCCCGAGGACAAGCUGGCCAUGCUCUAGAGGAAGUCCUUCCUACCCUAAUUUUCCCACAGCCCAUGUGGAGAGGCGGGCGUAAACUCCUAUUGUCCAGUGGGUUAGGAAUUAUGGAGACUGAGGCCAAGGGCAGUGGUUAGAACAUUGACUCUCUGCUGGGCUUUACAUCCUGGCUCAGAAAUUCCUUGUCUGUAUUGUCCUUAGCCUCUCGGUACCGCACCGUUGCCUCAGUUUCCUCACCUGAAAAUGGGGGUAAUUAUAGUCCCAAUCUCCUAGGGCUCAAUAAUUCUAAGAUAUCUUACUACAUGCCUACGUGUGUUUCUUAAUGCUCUCGAGAGGAUUUUCAGUCUUUAGGUGAAAACUAUUUCCAAAAGACUUGAGAAACGUUGACCGUCAUGUGGGAUUUUGUAUAAUAAUAUCUUUAUUGCAAAUCUGAUUGGCAUGUUUGCCUUAAAUGUCAUGAGAAGGUUUCCACUUCCUUAACAUUUGCCUGAUUGUGUGAUGUCCCCAAAUAUUUUGUAAUUUUUGUACCUCUCUGAACCUAGGGCACAAUAAAAUAAAUUAAAUUAAUUAGGGCUGAUAAUUAUUCUAGCGAACCCUCAUCUUGCAUAAUGCAUCAAUUCAACACUGCUUUGUUGCAAAAAAAAAAAUCCAGUUUGACUGACACAUAAGAGUAAAGUAAUAUAAGGUUCAUUUCUACUUAAUAGCAUCUGAUUGUAUUCUCUUGAUAAGUCAGAUAAUUAAGUAAUUCCUCUGUAAUUAUUAGUAUUAAUUUUAUAUAUCCUUUCUGGUUACCAGAAUUAUUAUUCCUUCUGUAAGAGUGGCAAUUAUUGUUAAUUUAAUUCCAUAUUCUACAUUGACUCCCGGUAAAUGAUUCUGAAUCUUAAAACUAUUGUGUUUGUUUAGGCCCUAAAAACAUGCACUCAUAUAACUUUUCCAUUUCUUAGCUCAUUUAAUUUGUGAUUUAGUUAGGUAGUUUUACAAAGUUAAUUUGGUCAUCUCUGAAAUCUAGACAUUGUUGUUAUUUGCUCUGUAAUAUACAAUUCAUGAACAACAAUUAUUUUUUCAUUGUUCUAGAAUCGUUUGUUUGUUACUUUUGUGAGGGUUAUCGGGAUUUCUCUUCUUAUUUAUUUUUACUUUUAUUUUUUUUUCA